rnacentral:rRNA from 1 species
AUUGAGCGCUGGCGGCAGGCCUAACACAUGCAAGUCGAGCGGAUGAAGGGAGCUUGCUCCUGGAUUCAGCGGCGGACGGGUGAGUAAUGCCUAGGAAUCUGCCUGGUAGUGGGGGAUAACGUCCGGAAACGGGCGCUAAUACCGCAUACGUCCUGAGGGAGAAAGUGGGGGAUCUUCGGACCUCACGCUAUCAGAUGAGCCUAGGUCGGAUUAGCUAGUUGGUGGGGUAAAGGCCUACCAAGGCGACGAUCCGUAACUGGUCUGAGAGGAUGAUCAGUCACACUGGAACUGAGACACGGUCCAGACUCCUACGGGAGGCAGCAGUGGGGAAUAUUGGACAAUGGGCGAAAGCCUGAUCCAGCCAUGCCGCGUGUGUGAAGAAGGUCUUCGGAUUGUAAAGCACUUUAAGUUGGGAGGAAGGGCAGUAAGUUAAUACCUUGCUGCUUUGACGUUACCAACAGAAUAAGCACCGGCUAACUUCGUG